GGACAAAUAGUUUAAACCUUAAAAACAUAACACUGAAAAUGUUAAGAUGGUAAUAAUCUUUUUCCA
rnacentral:tRNA from 1 species